AACGAACGCUGGCGGCGCGCCUAAUACAUGCAAGUCGAGCGAGAAGGUGUAGCAAUACACUUGUAAAGCGGCGAACGGGUGAGGAAUACAUGGGUAAUCUACCAUCGAGUGGGGAAUAACCAACCGAAAGGUUGGCUAAUACCGCGUACGCCUCCGAAUCUUCGGGUUCGGAGGGAAAGCUGCACUGUGAGUGUAGCGCUCUUUGAUGAGCUCAUGUCCUAUCAGCUUGUUGGUAGGGUAACGGCCUACCAAGGCUUUGACGGGUAGCUGGUCUGAGAGGAUGAUCAGCCACACUGGAACUGAGACACGGUCCAGACUCCUACGGGAGGCAGCAGUAAGGAAUAUUGCUCAAUGGCCGAAAGGCUGAAGCAGCAACGCCGCGUGGAGGAUGAAAUACUUUUGUAUGUAAACUCCUGUAAGAAGGGAAAAUAUUCCGAUUUAUCGGGAUUGAUUGUACCUUCAGAGUAAGCCCCGGCUAACUACGUGCCAGC
rnacentral:rRNA from 1 species